CCACUGCCUCUCAGGCCCCCUCACCCCUGACCAAGACCUAGACCAGGGGGACAGGAGUACCCACUGCCUCUCAGGCCCCCUCACCCCUGACCAAGACCUAGACCAGGGGGACAGGAGUACCCACUGCCUCUCAGGCCCCCUCACCCCUGACCAAGACCUAGACCAGGGGGACAGGAGUACCCACUGCCUCUCAGGCCCCCUCACCCCUGACCAAGACCUAGACCAGGGGGACAGGAGUACCCACUGCCUCUCAGGCCCCCUCACCCCUGACCAAGACCUAGACCAGGGAAACAGGAGUACCCACUGUCUCUCUGGCCCCCUCACCCCUGACCAAAAUCUGGUCAGGGCUACCCUCUCUCUCUCCCUCUCUGACGAGCUCAGUAGUGAGGAAGCCAUAUGCCAGAGCACCAUCUCACAUUAUGGAGAGGAGGAUGAGGACAGUGUCCAUAGAUUUAGAAGGAGAUGUGAGGAGGAGAGAGAUGAAGAAGAGGAGGAAGAGUGUAAGGAGGAAGAGGAUCAGUAUGAUAUUCUACCAGCCCCCCGGAACUCUGAGUAUCACAUCAACCAAUCAGAUGAAGACUUGACUGAUGGAGAGGACCUCUAUGACUUCCCACUGUCCAAUAGCAGGGCAAGUGACCGCCAAGAUUAUAGCGAGAUGACAGAGAGCAUCUAUGACGUCCCCAGUUCCCUAAUGAGGAAAAUGUCUGAACACACACUUGCAGAGCCUUACCCUGGAGGUGAGAUACUGGUGGAGGACAGGGGCCUCCUGGAUGACAUGAUGGCCGGUCUGGGUGGAGGGACGGUGGGCUGGAUAACAGGUGCUUCUACUGGCUCUGUGGAGCCCUACGGGCUGGCUCAUCAUGGCUCUUAGGACUGGUAUAUAGUAUAGACUCUGGAUAAUAGAGACUGAAUGAGUUUUCCUCAUUCAAAUUGUUCUAUAAAGCUUGACACAUUCUGUUAGAGAUUUAAAUAUGUUUACAUUUUAUGAAAAAAAUCUAAUUUGUCAUGAUAUUCUAUUGAUAUUCUAUUCUAUUCUCUUUUAAUACAAUCUACUGUCAAUGAAAUAUCAUAUUAAAUAACUAACUUUAUACUGUCAAAGUGUUCCACUUAGUAUAUAAUGUCAGGAGAGAGGUACUAUAGUAUUCAGUCAGACACUAUCCUUUUUUAGGAGGUAGAUCAGCUUUAAUAUUGCAGAUAGAUUGUGGCUUCUAUCAAUGUAAUUGUCACGUCCUGACCAGUAAAGGGGUCUAUUUGUUAUUGUAGUUUGGUCAGGACGUGGCAGAGGGUAUUUGUUUUCAUGGUUUUGUGUAUGUGUUUAGAUAGAGGGCUCCGGGCAGCCGAGCGGAAAUGGAGGAAAACUCGCCUCCCUGCGGACCUGGCAUCCUUUCACUCCCUCCUCUCUACAUUUUCCUCUUCUGUCUCUGCUGCUAAAGCCACUUUCUACCACUCUAAACUCCAAGCAUCUGCCUCUAACCCUAGGAAGCUC
rnacentral:lncRNA from 1 species